rnacentral:rRNA from 1 species
CUAAGCAUAUCAAUAAGCGGAGGAAAAGAAACCAACAGGGAUUGCCUCAGUAACGGCGAGUGAAGCGGCAACAGCUCAAAUUUGAAAUCUGACCCCUUCGGGGCCCGAGUUGUAAUUUGUAGAGGAUGCUUCGGGUGCGGCGCCGGUCUAAGUUCCUUGGAACAGGACGUCAUAGAGGGUGAGAAUCCCGUAUGCGACCGGCGGUCAACCCCAUGUGAAGCCCCUUCGACGAGUCGAGUUGUUUGGGAAUGCAGCUCAAAAUGGGUGGUAAAUUUCAUCUAAAGCUAAAUACCGGCCAGAGACCGAUAGCGCACAAGUAGAGUGAUCGAAAGAUGAAAAGCACUUUGGAAAGAGAGUCAAACAGUACGUGAAAUUGUUGAAAGGGAAGCGCUUGCAACCAGACCUGCCCCCGGGCGAUCAGCCGUUAUUUUUAGCGGUGCACUCGUCCGCGAUCAGGCCAGCAUCGGUUCGGGCGGCCGGAUAAAGGCCUCGGGAAUGUAGCUCCCCCCGGGGAGUCUUAUAGCCCGAGGUGCAAUGCGGCCAGCCCGGACCGAGGACCGCGCUUCGGCUAGGAUGCUGGCGUAAUGGUUGUAAGCGACCCGUCUUGAAACACGGACC